rnacentral:other from 1 species
GGCGUACUGCGCUUCGCGACAGGAGUAACUUAUUCCCCGGGGCCUUAAUUGAUCCUAGGGAGCUGUCCCUGGAAAGGCCCCUGGGCUUUUCUACACGGCGCCCACCUACUUUGUAGGUUUCCGGGAUCAACCUCUCCAUCGGUUGUGUGGUCGCCA